CUGUGAGCUCGAUGAGUAGGGCGGGACACGUGGUAUCCUGUCUGAAUAUGGGGGGACCAUCCUCCAAGGCUAAAUACUCCUGACUGACCGAUAGUGAACCAGUACCGUGAGGGAAAGGCGAAAAGAACCCCGGCGAGGGGAGUGAAAAAGAACCUGAAACCGUGUACGUACAAGCAGUGGGAGCACAGAGCAAUCUGUGUGACUGCGUACCUUUUGUAUAAUGGGUCAGCGACUUAUAUUCUGUAGCAAGGUUAACCGAAUAGGGGAGCCGAAGGGAAACCGAGUCUUAACUGGGCGUUAAGUUGCAGGGUAUAGACCCGAAACCCGGUGAUCUAGCCAUGGGCAGGUUGAAGGUUGGGUAACACUAACUGGAGGACCGAACCGACUAAUGUUGAAAAAUUAGCGGAUGACUUGUGGCUGGGGGUGAAAGGCCAAUCAAACCGGGAGAUAGCUGGUUCUCCCCGAAAGCUAUUUAGGUAGCGCCUCGUGAAUUCAUCUCCGGGGGUAGAGCACUGUUUCGGCAAGGGGGUCAUCCCGACUUACCAACCCGAUGCAAACUGCGAAUACCGGAGAAUGUUAUCACGGGAGACACACGGCGGGUGCUAACGUCCGUCGUGAAGAGGGAAACAACCCAGACCGCCAGCUAAGGUCCCAAAGUCAUGGUUAAGUGGGAAACGAUGUGGGAAGGCCCAGACAGCCAGGAUGUUGGCUUAGAAGCAGCCAUCAUUUAAAGAAAGCGUAAUAGCUCACUGGUCGAGUCGGCCUGCGCGGAAGAUGUAACGGGGCUAAACCAUGCACCGAAGCUGCGGCAGCGACACUGUGUGUUGUUGGGUAGGGGAGCGUUCUGUAAGCCUGUGAAGGUG
rnacentral:rRNA from 1 species